rnacentral:rRNA from 1 species
AACGAACGCUGGCGGCAUGCUUAACACAUGCAAGUCGAACGAGACCUUCGGGUCUAGUGGCGCACGGGUGCGUAACGCGUGGGGAUCUGCCCUUUGCUACGGAAUAACUCAGAGAAAUUUGUGCUAAUACCGUAUAAUGUCGAAAGACCAAAGAUUUAUCGGCAAAGGAUGAGCCCGCGUAGGAUUAGCUAGUUGGUGAGGUAAAGGCUCACCAAGGCGACGAUCCUUAGCUGGUCUGAGAGGAUGCUCAGCCACACGCGGACUGAGACACGGCCCAGACUCCUACGGGAUGCAGCAAUAGGGAAGAUUGGACAAUGGGCGAAAGCCUGAUACAGCAAUACCGCGUGAGUGAUGAAGGCCUUAGGGUUGUAAAGCUCUUUUACCAGGGAUGAUAAUGACAGUACCUGGAGAAUAAGCUCCGGCUAACUCCGUGCCAGCAGCCGCCGCAGUAA